CAAACGACUCUUUUCAGAGCCACACAUAUAUACACCACACCGCUAU
rfam:Atta colombica isolate Treedump-2 unplaced genomic scaffold scaffold33, whole genome shotgun sequence.